rnacentral:tRNA from 1 species
GAAGGUAUAGCUCAGUGGUAGAAUGUAUGCUUAGCAUGCAUGAGCUCCUGGGUUCAAUCCCCAGUACCUCCA